rnacentral:tRNA from 1 species
GUCUUUUGAGUAUAAGAUAGUACACUUGCCUUCCAAGCAAGAGGUUUAAAAAAUUUAAAAAAGAUA